rnacentral:piRNA from 1 species
UGGGACUUAGGGGGAAAUUAUAGUUUU